rnacentral:rRNA from 1 species
CCUACGGGUGGCAGCAGUGGGGAAUAUUGGGCAAUGGGCGCAAGCCUGACCCAGCAACGCCGCGUGAGUGAAGAAGUAUUUCGGUAUGUAAAGCUCUAUCAGCAGGGAAGAAAUACUGACCUUACGGUCAGCAGCCAGUACCUGACUAAGAAGCCCCGGCUAACUACGUGCCAGCAGCCGCGGUAAUACGUAGGGGGCAAGCGUUAUCCGGAUUUACUGGGUGUAAAGGGAGCGUAGACGGCAGCGCAAGUCUGAAGUGAAAUCCCAUGGCUUAACCAUGGAACUGCUUUGGAAACUGUGCAGCUGGAGUGCAGGAGAGGUAAGCGGAAUUCCUAGUGUAGCGGUGAAAUGCGUAGAUAUUAGGAGGAACACCAGUGGCGAAGGCGGCUUACUGGACUGUAACUGACGUUGAGGCUCGAAAGCGUGGGGAGCAAACAGGAUUAGAUACCCGUGUAGUC